CCUACGGGGGGCAGCAGUGAGGAAUAUUGGUCAAUGGACGAGAGUCUGAACCAGCCAAGUAGCGUGAAGGAUGACUGCCCUAUGGGUUGUAAACUUCUUUUAUAUGGGAAUAAAAUGUUCCACGUGUGGGAUUUUGUAUGUACCAUAUGAAUAAGGAUCGGCUAACUCCGUGCUAGCAGCCGCGGUAAUACGGAGGAUCCGAGCGUUAUCCGGAUUUAGUGGGUUUAAAGGGAGCGUAGGUGGAUUGUUAAGUCAGUUGUGAAAGUUUGCGGCUCAACCGUAAAAUUGCAGUUGAAACUGGCAGUCUUGAGUACAGUAGAGGUGGGCGGAAUUCGUGGUGUAGCGGUGAAAUGCUUAGAUAUCACGAAGAACUCCGAUUGCGAAGGCAGCUCACUGGACUGCAACUGACACUGAGGCUCGAAAGUGUGGGUAUCAAACAGGAUUAGAUACCCCAGUAGUC
rnacentral:rRNA from 1 species